rnacentral:rRNA from 1 species
AGCGGCGGACGGGUGAGUAACACGUAGGCAACCUGCCUUGCAGUCUGGGAUAACUUCCGGAAACGGAUGCUAAUACCGGAUACAUCAUUUCCCGGCAUCGGAGAAUGAGGAAAGACGGCGCAAGCUGUCACUGUGAGAUGGGCCUGCGGCGCAUUAGCUAGUUGGUGGGGUAACGGCCCACCAAGGCGACGAUGCGUAGCCGACCUGAGAGGGUGAACGGCCACACUGGGACUGAGACACGGCCCAGACUCCUACGGGAGGCAGCAGUAGGGAAUCUUCCACAAUGGGCGAAAGCCUGAUGGAGCAAUGCCGCGUGAGUGAUGAAGGUUUUCGGAUCGUAAAGCUCUGUUGCCAGGGAAGAACGUCCGGGUGAGUAACUGCACUCGGAGUGACGGUACCUGAGAAGAAAGCCCCGGCUAACUACGUGCCAGCAGCCGCGGUAAUACGUAGGGGGCAAGCGUUGUCCGGAAUUAUUGGGCGUAAAGCGCGUGCAGGCGGCUUGUUAAGUCGGGUGUUUAAGACCGGGGCUCAACCCCGGCUCGCACCCGAAACUGGGAAGCUUGAGUGUAGGAGAGGAAAGUGGAAUUCCACGUGUAGCGGUGAAAUGCGUAGAGAUGUGGAGGAACACCAGUGGCGAAGGCGACUUUCUGGCCUAUAACUGACGCUGAGGCGC